rnacentral:rRNA from 1 species
GACGAACCGUGCAAACGUUGUUCGGAAUCACUGGGCUUAAAGGGCGCGUAGGCGGGUCAUCAAGUCUGUGGGGAAAUCCUCCAGCUUAACUGGAGAAGGGCCGUGGAUACUGGUGAUCUUGAGGGAGGUAGGGGCAUGUGGAACUUCCGGUGGAGCGGUGAAAUGCGUAGAUAUCGGAAGGAACGCCGGUGGCGAAAGCGACGUGCUGGACCUCUUCUGACGCUGAGGCGCGAAAGCGUGGGGAGCGAACAGG